ACUUCUAUCGUUUAAUGGUUUAGGACAAUGUUUUUUCAAGACAUAAAUGUGAGUUCAAUUCUCACUAGAAGUA
rnacentral:tRNA from 1 species